rnacentral:lncRNA from 1 species
CACUUAUAUUGUGACGAUUUUAUUUUGAACAAUUUUUCUGUUAUAUCUGUUUCCUUUAAUUUUCUUAUCUUCUAAGGAUUUUAUUGGAUAGAGUAUAAGAUUUUAUGUCAUUAAACUGGCUUUAAAUUGUGUAACUUUGGUCUUGAGCAAACCGGUUAAAAUGUUGAAAUAUUGCAUGGAAAGAACAAUCUGAGUUGAAGGUUUUGACUAUGCUGCAAAAAC